CUGGAGUACCGGUUCUACAAGCAGCUCAGCGCCACAGAGGGCGUCCCUCAGGUCUACUACUUCGGCCCGUGCGGGAAGUACAACGCCAUGGUGCUGGAGCUGCUGGGGCCCAGCCUGGAGGACCUGUUCGACCUGUGCGACCGGACCUUCACGCUCAAGACGGUGCUGAUGAUCGCCAUCCAGCUGAUCACGCGCAUGGAGUAUGUGCACACCAAGAGCCUCAUCUACCGGGACGUGAAGCCCGAGAACUUCCUGGUGGGCCGCCCGGGGACCAAGCGGCAGCACGCCAUCCACAUCAUCGACUUCGGGCUGGCCAAGGAGUACAUCGACCCCGAGACCAAGAAGCACAUCCCGUACCGCGAGCACAAGAGCCUGACGGGCACGGCGCGCUACAUGAGCAUCAACACGCACCUGGGCAAGGGUGAGCUGCGCGCGCGCGGCGGGGGGCGGGCGCCCGGACCCCGCUGAGGCUGCGCCCCUGUCCCCGCAGAGCAGAGCCGCCGCGACGACCUGGAGGCGCUGGGCCACAUGUUCAUGUACUUCCUGCGCGGCAGCCUCCCCUGGCAGGGGCUCAAGGUGGGCGAGGGGGCCGGGCAGGCGGGCAGGGGCGCAGGGCGGGAGCAAGGCUGACCACGGACCCCCGCAGGCCGACACGCUCAAGGAGCGGUACCAGAAGAUCGGGGACACCAAGCGCGCCACGCCCAUCGAGGUGCUCUGUGAGAACUUCCCAGAGGAGAUGGCCACGUACCUCCGCUACGUGCGGCGCCUGGACUUCUUCGAGAAGCCCGACUAUGACUACCUGCGGAAGCUCUUCACCGAUCUCUUCGACCGCAGCGGCUUCGUGUUCGACUAUGAGUACGACUGGGCCGGGAAGCCCCUGCCGACCCCCAUCGGCACCGUCCACACCGACCUGCCCUCCCAGCCUCAGCUCCGGGACAAAGCCCAGCCGCACAGCAAAAACCAGGUGAGGCCCGGGCGGGACCGACGCCCCAGGGAGGGGCAUGGGCGGCCAGCGUGACCCCCUACUGCCCCCGCCAGGCGCUGAACUCCACCAACGGGGAGCUGAAUGCGGACG
rnacentral:sRNA from 1 species